rnacentral:rRNA from 1 species
AGUAACGCGUGGGUAACCUGCCAUAUACAGGGGGAUAACACUUAGAAAUAGGUGCUAAAACCGCAUAAGCGCACAGCUUCGCAUGAAGCAGUGUGAAAAACUCCGGUGGUAUAUGAUGGACCCGCGUCUGAUUAGCCAGUUGGCAGGGUAACGGCCUACCAAAGCGACGAUCAGUAGCCGGCCUGAGAGGGUGAACGGCCACAUUGGGACUGAGACACGGCCCAAACUCCUACGGGAGGCAGCAGUGGGGAAUAUUGCACAAUGGGGGAAACCCUGAUGCAGCGACGCCGCGUGAGUGAAGAAGUAUUUCGGUAUGUAAAGCUCUAUCAGCAGGGAAGAAAAUGACGGUACCUGAGUAAGAAGCCCCGGCUAACUACGUGCCAGCAGCCGCGGUAAUACGUAGGGGGCAAGCGUUAUCCGGAUUUACUGGGUGUAAAGGGAGCGUAGACGGCGAGACAAGUCUGAAGUGAAAACCCGGGGCUCAACCCUGGGACUGCUUUGGAAACUGCCUGGCUGGAGUGCAGGAGAGGUAAGUGGAAUUCCUAGUGUAGCGGUGAAAUGCGUAGAUAUUAGGAGGAACACCAGUGGCGAAGGCGGCUUACCGGACUGUAACUGACGUUGAGGCUUGAAAGCGUGGGGAGCAAACAGGAUUAGAUACCCUGGUAGUCCACGCCGUAAACGAUGAUCACUAGGUGUUGGGGGCCUACAGGCCUUCGGUGCCGUCGCAAACGCAAUAAGUGAUCCACCUGGGGAGUACGUUCGCAAGAAUA